rnacentral:lncRNA from 9 species
UUGUGAAUUACAAAUUGAGCCCUGUGUGUGUUACUUUCUAUACUCAGAUUCAUUUGAAACCGAGCAUCCGCUUUCCUAGGGAAACAAAAAGAAAAUCUAAAAAGAACGGGAACAGAACAAUAGCAAAGAAUGUCACUUCCAAAUAUGAUGUACUGGUUCUGCCUAUUCUCCAAUGACAGGCGUCUCAUCAGUAAGAACUUCAUCUUAAAGGUGUUUCUCCAAAUGUAAAGGGGAGAAGAGAGACCUUGAAGACAAGCCCCUUUUUCCUCAGUACUGCCCAAGCCUUCCUCUUCAUCAUUCAUCUUCCGCCCUUCUUCCCUCCUGCACCAUCUGUCUCAGGACGGAUAUGCUGUGAUGAGUUUGACAGCAUCCUCCUUGAUGGCGGCUCCUGGCACAUCUGUGGCUGCAUGAAGAUGCUCAGUGAACAGGCCAAGGUGCGCUGACUUUCAGAAUCUGCCUGUCCCUGCUGGCUUUGGGCUGCGCUGUCACAAAGAAACCCAGGUCCUUUAAAGUCUUCCAUGAAAUAGAAGUCACACCAGAAUGCAGAGCUAAAUCCUGAAUUUUUCCCUUUGUUUACUGUUUCCAGAUUAGUGUUGGCAUCUUAGCAACCUCGGGGUACAUGCUGAAUCUUUCUUAUUUCUUCUCUUCAUCAC